UUGAGGGCUGGCGGCGUGCCUAAUACAUGCAAGUCGAGCGAACGGACGAGAAGCUUGCUUCUCUGAUGUUAGCGGCGGACGGGUGAGUAACACGUGGAUAACCUACCUAUAAGACUGGGAUAACUUCGGGAAACCGGAGCUAAUACCGGAUAAUAUUUUGAACCGCAUGGUUCAAAAGUGAAAGACGGUCUUGCUGUCACUUAUAGAUGGAUCCGCGCUGCAUUAGCUAGUUGGUAAGGUAACGGCUUACCAAGGCAACGAUGCAUAGCCGACCUGAGAGGGUGAUCGGCCACACUGGAACUGAGACACGGUCCAGACUCCUACGGGAGGCAGCAGUAGGGAAUCUUCCGCAAUGGGCGAAAGCCUGACGGAGCAACGCCGCGUGAGUGAUGAAGGUCUUCGGAUCGUAAAACUCUGUUAUUAGGGAAGAACAUAUGUGGAAGUAACUGUGCACAUCUUGACGGUACCUAAUCAGAAAGCCACGGCUAACUACGUGCCAGCAGCCGCGGUAAUACGUAGGUGGCAAGCGUUAUCCGGAAUUAUUGGGCGUAAAGCGCGCGUAGGCGGUUUUUUAAGUCUGAUGUGAAAGCCCACGGCUCAACCGUGGAGGGUCAUUGGAAACUGGAAAACUUGAGUGCAGAAGAGGAAAGUGGAAUUCCAUGUGUAGCGGUGAAAUGCGCAGAGAUAUGGAGGAACACCAGUGGCGAAGGCGACUUUCUGGUCUGUAACUGACGCUGAUGUGCGAAAGCGUGGGGAUCAAACAGGAUUAGAUACCCUGGUAGUCCACGCCGUAAACGAUGAGUGCUAAGUGUUAGGGGGUUUCCGCCCCUUAGUGCUGCAGCUAACGCAUUAAGCACUCCGCCUGGGGAGUACGACCGCAAGGUUGAAACUCAAAGGAAUUGACGGGGACCCGCACAAGCGGUGGAGCAUGUGGUUUAAUUCGAAGCAACGCGAAGAACCUUACCAAAUCUUGACAUCCUUUGACAACUCUAGAGAUAGAGCCUUCCCCUUCGGGGGACAAAGUGACAGGUGGUGCAUGGUUGUCGUCAGCUCGUGUCGUGAGAUGUUGGGUUAAGUCCCGCAACGAGCGCAACCCUUAAGCUUAGUUGCCAUCAUUAAGUUGGGCACUCUAAGUUGACUGCCGGUGACAAACCGGAGGAAGGUGGGGAUGACGUCAAAUCAUCAUGCCCCUUAUGAUUUGGGCUACACACGUGCUACAAUGGACAAUACAAAGGGCAGCGAAACCGCGAGGUCAAGCAAAUCCCAUAAAGUUGUUCUCAGUUCGGAUUGUAGUCUGCAACUCGACUACAUGAAGCUGGAAUCGCUAGUAAUCGUAGAUCAGCAUGCUCCGGAAAGGCGUUCCCGGGUCU
rnacentral:rRNA from 1 species